rnacentral:misc_RNA from 1 species
UGGUUCUGGCAUCGAUGAAGAACGCAGCGAAAUGCGAUAAGUAAUGUGAAUUGCAGAAUUCAGUGAAUCAUCGAAUCUUUGAACGCACAUUGCGCCCUCUGGUAUUCCGGGGGGCAUGCCUGUUCGAGCGUCAUUACACCCUCAAGCUCUGCUUGGUGUUGGGCCACACCACUGCGGCGGUGGGCCUCAAAGUCAACGGCGGUGCCGCCCAGUUCCGAGCGCAGUAACAUUUCUCGCUCCGGACGCCUGGGUGCGCGCUGCCCAAACCACACCUUUAUGGUUGACCUCGGAUCAGGUAGGGAUACCCGCUGA